AUAGCCUCUCACUCAGGAAGAACUCUGCCUGCCACCCAUCCCGGAGCUGGGGAGUAGACAUCCAAGGGUGGACCAUGGAGAGAAAUGACUUUAGCAAAGCCCCACCAUAUGAGCAGAGCCUGUGUCCACGACAUCUCAUCAAAUUAAAAAAAGCAUCAUGAUGGGUCCCUGAAUUAUUUCUUUAGAACAGGCUCCUGAAGCUGGAGUCCCUAGCGUCAGCAGGAGUGUGCUUUGAAUUCCUGCCCUUGCCCUGCAGAUUUAAAGAGACAUCUUUACACAUGUACCUCGUCCCAUGUGCUUCUGUGGCACUUCUUGUGGGCAUCACAUCAUGAUGAGAGAUGGUGACACCUGUUAGGGGAACCUCUCUGACUCAGCACUUUUGUUGCUUCCAGGUAAAAACUCUGGAAUAUACAUACACACUGUUGGGAUGUUGACUGGCAUUUUGUUAUAUUUGCAGAUUACAGAGAAUUAUGAUAGUCUCAUUAAAUAUAAUAAACAUUUUGUUUCUUCCUUUCCAAUAUUUAUGUAAUUUAUUUAUGUCUCCUUCCUUCUGGGAGUAGCUAAAAUGUGGCUCCACAGCAAUGCUGAGACAUAAUACCGAGUGGGGACAUCCUUAUUUUACUUUACCCACAGAUCCCUCUGUCUCACAACUAAGUAUAACACAGGCAGGGUAUUUCUGACAAAUAUUGUCCAUAAUGUGGGGAGAACACAGGAGCAGUUAUUGAAUUAUUAUCAAUAGCAGUUAUUAUCUGUCACUUAAGCAAUAAAUGAGAUUGGGGGGUGGAUUUUCUCCUUUAGCAAAUAUAAUUUUUAAAAUAUAAAUUAUAUUAACAUACUUCAUGCUGAUAAACUAUUCCCAUAUUCCUUGGAAUAAAUCUGGCUAGUUCAUGUUACUUUGUUAUUUGAAUGUGUUCCCAGGUUUAAUGUGAAAAUAUCUCAUUAAUAAAUGUUAUAUCUAUAUUCAUAAGUGCAUUUUUUCUAUAGAUGCUUUUUAUUUUUAUUAAGUUCAGGCUUCAAUGUGAUGCUAGCCUUAUAUAACCAGUUAAGACAAUUUUAAAAAAAUUCUAUGUUUUGGAAUCUUUAAAAUAGCAUUACAUUUAAGUAUCUCAUCAAGGUCUGAUAAAAUCAUCUGUGACUUGUAUUAUUUAUAUGGAAUCUGAAGGAGGGUGGACAGUAAUUUGCAUUUUUAAAAGCCCUCCCUUCUUGGGGUUGGGGUUCUUUGGUAGAAAGAGUAGUUUUACAAUUUCCAUGUGAUUAAAUACUGAUAUUUUUUUGGCCAUUACUUUCUAAUUUUAUUACACUGUGGUCAAAGAAUAAGGCUUGAAAAUUUCUACUUUAUUUAAAGUAGAACUUACGAAAGCUUUU